rnacentral:rRNA from 1 species
UACAGAGGGUGCGAGCGUUAAUCGGAAUUACUGGGCGUAAAGCGCACGUAGGUGGCGACGUAAGUCGGGUGUGAAAUCCCCGGGCUUAACCUGGGAACUGCAGUCGAGACUGCUUUGCUUGAGUAUGGGAGAGGGAGGUGGAAUUUCCGGUGUAGCGGUGAAAUGCGUAGAUAUCGGAAGGAACAUCAGUGGCGAAGGCGACCUCCUGGACCAAUACUGACACUCAAGUGCGAAAGCGUGGGGAGCAAACAGG